GAUGAACGCUGGCGGCGUGCCUAAUACAUGCAAGUCGAGCGAACAGACGAGGAGCUUGCUCCUCUGACGUUAGCGGCGGACGGGUGAGUAACACGUGGAUAACCUACCUAUAAGACUGGGAUAACUUCGGGAAACCGGAGCUAAUACCGGAUAAUAUAUUGAACCGCAUGGUUCAAUAGUGAAAGACGGUUUUGCUGUCACUUAUAGAUGGAUCCGCGCCGCAUUAGCUAGUUGGUAAGGUAACGGCUUACCAAGGCAACGAUGCGUAGCCGACCUGAGAGGGUGAUCGGCCACACUGGAACUGAGACACGGUCCAGACUCCUACGGGAGGCAGCAGUAGGGAAUCUUCCGCAAUGGGCGAGAGCCUGACGGAGCAAAGCCGCGUGAGUGAUGAAGGUCUUCGGAUCGUAAAACUCUGUUAUUAGGGAAGAACAAAUGUGUAAGUAACUAUGCACGUCUUGACGGUACCUAAUCAGAAAGCCACGGCUAACUACGUG
rnacentral:rRNA from 1 species